rnacentral:rRNA from 1 species
AUUGAACGCUGGCGGCAUGCUUUACACAUGCAAGUCGAACGGUAGAGGGGGCAACCCCUUGAGAGUGGCGAACGGGUGAGUAAUGCAUCGGAACGUGCCCAGUCGUGGGGGAUAACGCAGCGAAAGCUGUGCUAAUACCGCAUACGAUCUCUGGAUGAAAGCGGGGGACCGAAAGGCCUCGCGCGAUUGGAGCGGCCGAUGUCAGAUUAGGUAGUUGGUGGGGUAAAGGCUCACCAAGCCAACGAUCUGUAGCUGGUCUGAGAGGACAACCCGCCACACUGGGACUGAGACACGGCCCAGACUCCUACGGGAGGCAGCAGUGGGGAAUUUUGGACAAUGGGCGCAAGCCUGAUCCAGCAAUGCCGCGUGCAGGAAGAAGGCCUUCGGGUUGUAAACUGCUUUUGUACGGAACGAAAAGGUCUGGGUUAAUACCCUGGGCACAUGACGGUACCGUAAGAAUAAGCACCGGCUAACUACGUGCCAGCCGCCGCAGUAA